rnacentral:rRNA from 1 species
UAGGGAAUCUUGCGCAAUGGGCGAAAGCCUGACGCAGCCAUGCCGCGUGAAUGAUGAAGGUCUUAGGAUUGUAAAAUUCUUUCACCGGGGACGAUAAUGACGGUACCCGGAGAAGAAGCCCCGGCUAACUUCGUGCCAGCAGCCGCGGUAAUACGAAGGGGGCUAGCGUUGCUCGGAAUUACUGGGCGUAAAGGGAGCGUAGGCGGAUAGUUUAGUCGGAGGUGAAAGCCCAGGGCUCAACCUUUGAAUUGCCUUUGAUACUGGCUAUCUUGAGUAUGGAAGAGGUAUGUGGAACUCCGAGUGUAGAGGUGAAAUUCGUAGAUAUUCGGAAGAACACCAGUGGCGAAGGCGACAUACUGGUCCAUUACUGACGCUGAGGCUCGAAAGCGUGGGGAGCAAACA